rnacentral:rRNA from 1 species
UACGUAGGUGACAAGCGUUGUCCGGAUUUACUGGGCGUAAAGCGCGCGUAGGCGGCUAAGUCAGUCGGAUGUGAAAUCCCUGGGCUCAACCUGGGAACUGCAUACGAUACUGCUUGGCUAGAGUGUGGGAGAGGGUGGUGGAAUUCCCGGUGUAGCGGUGAAAUGCGUAGAUAUCGGGAGGAACAUCAGUGGCGAAGGCGGCAUCCUGGACCGGCAUUGACGCUGAGGCGCGAAAGCCAGGGGAGCAAACGGG